GGGGGAGGGGAAGCGUCGCGAGGGAACGGCUGCCUGGGGGAGGGAGCGGUAACAGCCUGGGAGGGAGGCGUGGGGGAAGGAGAAGGGGGAGCACGAGAGGGGGGCGGGCGAGGAGCGGGAAGAGCUGCGCCGAGAGCCGGGAAAGGCCGGAGGGCGGGGCGGGACAGGAGGGAAGAGCCGGCCGGGCAGGUCACGUGGGGCCGGUACAAAAGGCCAAAGCCAAAGUGGAAGGAGGACCUGAUGGGGCUGGAGGCCAAGAACUGGGGGUUCCUUCUUGUCUUUCUCACGCGGUUAGGUCAGGCAGAUAGCGGGAAAAGGAAAUGGUGUAUCCCCAUUACACAGCUGGGGAAACUGAGGGCAGGCGCUUGGGUGGGGUGGCUUCAGUAUGGCACGGAAAUCCGGUAGCCAGACUAUCUGAACUCCUGAUGAUGUCUGUUUACAGUUAGCAGAUCCUCCCUCCCCACUUCUGUGCUCACACCCCACUUCCACAGUAACUCUCCCGGAACCCGAGGUCAAGAGCUGGGGGAGCAGGGAGGGGACAAAGAGCGGGGAGGAAGUUGCCUCCCUUUAUCAUUCCCUUUUGGCUCCCAUCGCACCCCACACAUGUCACCCUACUGUAGGAAAAAGAGUAGGUGCAAUGAGGAGGGAGGAGAGGGUGGAAACUUAGACACACGUGUGAAGCCCUUUCACCACAAUGACUUCAUCCUCCCCACAUCCGAGAGGCUUGUUGGACCUUACCAAGUCGUUUUUAAAAGAAACAGCAAAGACUCAGGUCCAGUGACUUACACAAGGUCACACAGCUCUUUUGUGGCACACAUCUGAGUUUCAAGGCUUGAUCUCUUUUGUUCCAGUGCUUGUCUUCUACCCAUUCCCUAUGCAGAAUUUCUCUUUUCCAAAUUGAAAGCUGAACCACGAACUGGCAUCUUUCAUGGCCUGUCUUCUGGUGGAUUGUGGGUGAUCGUCUCCUCUGCCUGGAUGCUUGGUCUCAGGCCAUGGUGUUUGGCAGAAAUCAGUGAUUUUUCAGAACGUUGGAAGGUGCCCACAACUGGCACUAGUGUAUUUUUUGUCACUUCAAAGCACCUAUGGACAGUCCUUUGGUUUUCCAUCCAAGAGUAAGCUUAGGAAAGCUUUGCUCCAUUCUAGGUCAGGCUGCCCUUUCCUCUGCUGCCUUAUUGCCAGUUACAUUAAAUACAGUAUAUAACAAGAGUUUAUUAAUACUGUACUGUAGUCAACACCCUUGUGACUGUAUACAAUGGCCCCCAAGCAGAAAAAGGUUGAAAAGAAAGGCAAUAAGAAGAUGAUUUUGGUGGAAGUUAAGAAGGAAAUCAUAGAGAAGUACGAACAAGGCAUGUGAAUGGCUGAAAUUGCAAGAUUUUAUAAGUCUACGUCUGCAUUUCUUCUGCAGAUGAGGAGGAGAAAAA